CUCUUCGGAGUUGACGAUAAUGGAAUGAGCGGCGGACGGGUGAGUAACACGUAGGCAACCUGCCUGUAAGACUGGGAUAACUCGUGGAAACGCGAGCUAAUACCGGAUAACACUUUUCAUCUCCUGAUGAGAAGUUGAAAGGCGGCUUUUGCUGUCACUUACAGAUGGGCCUGCGGCGCAUUAGCUAGUUGGUAAGGUAACGGCUUACCAAGGCGACGAUGCGUAGCCGACCUGAGAGGGUGAUCGGCCACACUGGGACUGAGACACGGCCCAGACUCCUACGGGAGGCAGCAGUAGGGAAUCUUCCGCAAUGGACGAAAGUCUGACGGAGCAACGCCGCGUGAGUGAUGAAGGUUUUCGGAUCGUAAAACUCUGUUGUUAGGGAAGAACAAGUACUAUAGUAACUGAUAGUACCUUGACGGUACCUAACCAGAAAGCCACGGCUAACUACGUGCCAGCAGCCGCGGUAAUACGUAGGUGGCAAGCGUUGUCCGGAAUUAUUGGGCGUAAAGCGCUCGCAGGCGGUUCUUUAAGUCUGAUGUGAAAUCUUACGGCUCAACCGUAAACGUGCAUUGGAAACUGGGGAACUUGAG
rnacentral:rRNA from 1 species